AACAGGAUUUGAUACCCUGGUAGUCCACGCUGUAAACGAUGUCGACUUGGAGGUUGUGCCCUUGAGGCGUGGCUUCCGGAGCUAACGCGUUAAGUCGACCGCCUGGGGAGUACGGCCGCAAGGUUAAAACUCAAAUGAAUUGACGGGGGCCCGCACAAGCGGUGGAGCAUGUGGUUUAAUUCGAUGCAACGCGAAGAACCUUACCUACUCUUGACAUCCAGAGAAUUUGCUAGAGAUAGCUUAGUGCCUUCGGGAACUCUGAGACAGGUGCUGCAUGGCUGUCGUCAGCUCGUGUUGUGAAAUGUUGGGUUAAGUCCCGCAACGAGCGCAACCCUUAUCCUUUGUUGCCAGCACGUAAUGGUGGGAACUCAAAGGAGACUGCCGGUGAUAAACCGGAGGAAGGUGGGGAUGACGUCAAGUCAUCAUGGCCCUUACGAGUAGGGCUACACACGUGCUACAAUGGCAUAUACAAAGAGAAGCGAACUCGCGAGAGCAAGCGGACCUCAUAAAGUAUGUCGUAGUCCGGAUUGGAGUCUGCAACUCGACUCCAUGAAGUCGGAAUCGCUAGUAAUCGUAGAUCAGAAUGCUACGGUGAAUACGUUCCCGGGCCUUGUACACACCGCCCGUCACACCAUGGGAGUGGGUUGCAAAAGAAGUAGGUAGCUUAACCUUCGGGAGGGCGCUUACCACUUUGUGAUUCAUGACUGGGGUGAAGUCGUAACAAGGUAACC
rnacentral:rRNA from 1 species